CCUGCUCGCGCCCGCCGGAGUUGUUGGUGUAGCUCCCGCCCGCUCGCUCCCCUCUCCCCCUUCCCUCCCCUCGCUCGUUGGUUUCGUCCCGCGCGGGCCAUAGCGACGGCGGGCGCGCUGAGGGAAGAUGGCGGCUCCGGCCUCUGUGGCGCUGCGGGCUUCGUGAGCGCGGCGCUCGCUCCUCUCCCCUUUCCCCUCCUCGCUCCCGCACCCCGUCCCUCCCGGCUGCCCUCCGCCUCUUCUCCUUCCCCGCUGCGGGCCUAGGGACCAUGUCGGACUCGGAGGAGGAGGAGAGUCCGGACCGCCAGCUCAAGCUAGUGGUGCUUGGAGACGGUACCACUGGCAAGACAUCCUUAGCCAUGCGUUUUGCCCAAGAAACAUUUGGAAAACAGUAUAAACAAACCAUAGGACUGGACUUCUUCUUGAAAAGGAUAAUAUUGCCAGGAAAUUUGAAUGUUACUCUUCAAGUGUGGGAUGUAGGGGGGCAAACGAUAGGAGGCAAAAUGCUGGAUAAAUAUAUUUAUGGAGCUCAGGGUAUUCUCCUGGUUUAUGAUAUUACCAAUGGUCAGAGCUUUGAAAAUUUAGAAGACUGGUAUAAUGCGGUAAAAAAAGUGAAUGAAGAAUCAGAAACGCAGCCACUUGUGGCAUUGGUUGGAAACAAAAUUGACUUGGAGCAUAUGCGCACAGUGAAAGUUGACAAGCAUCAACGAUUUUGUCAGGAAAACAAUUUCAGUAGCCAUUUCGUGUCAGCCAAGACAGGAGAUUCUGUCUUCCUGUGUUUUCAGAGAAUUGCUGCUGACAUACUUGGCAUCAAAUUAAACAAAGCAGAAUUGGAACAAUCACAGUGUAAAAACUGCAUGGGGUACAGCUUUGUUCCUUGGCAUUGGCAAGAGCUAGCAUUUUUCAUGUUGUCAGGGCAGGACUAGUGAAAUAUCCUGAAGAAGAUAACCAACAUCACACCACUUCCAACUGCCAGAGCAAAGUCUGCUCAAUGCAGUAGUUCAGAGGGUGGUGAAGGCAGAUAUUGUCAACUACAGUCAAGAGCCUGUGACAAGAACUGUUAAUCCUCCUAGAAGCUCAAUGUGUGCAGUUCAAUGACCAUGCUAUUCUUCUUUGUUUUGAUACCUUUGGCGAUCCUCCUACCUUGACACAGGCUCUGGGAUUACCAGGAACUUUGUUUUAACAGUGACCAUCGCAACAAUGCAAUUAGAGGUUUCAAAAACAUGUUGCACCAUUGUACGUUGACAAGCAGCAGGCAGUUGUUUGACUGGCCGAUGUUCAAACGUGAGACCACACACUUUGAAAAAUUAAGAUCUCUAUUCUUUUAAAUUAUAUUUAAAUAAAGCAGUAUAACUGUGUUUAUAUGUUUCCUCCUAUCUAUUUGACUGAUACCGGAAUAAAAAUGGAUGAAGAAGAUCUGCAUUCAAAACACUUUUAAAGACAUCACUAUGGAACGGUUUUUGCCAAAGCAUUUAAAAAAUGUUUUUCUCCUUUUUUUUUUUUCUUCCUGUGAUCUGAACUAACAGUCAUCAAAAUGUAACUUGGAAAAGCUAUUGCUGGAAUAAUUUUAAGCACAUAAUAUAUUUUAUCUAGGGAUAAUUUGGAAAGUAUUCCAUUAAUAUAUAUACAUAGAGCAAAAUGUAUAAAUGGUAUCCAGUAAGAAACAGUGCUUGAAAUAAAGCUGUAAUAUAAAAAUAGUUACUUUUCUGAAGUCUCAAGUUGUCUCCAUGAGUGCUCUGAAAAAUGCUAGUGUUUUUUGUGUAUUUUUAUUACCACAUCAACAUUUCUUCUUGCAGUAGUAGAUAUGCUCGUAUAUCUUCAUGAAUAUGGAUGAACCUCAGUCAACAGUUUGGGCUGUAAAUGUUGAGUGAUAUAUUCAGCAUGCAUUGGAAACUGUUGAUAGAUCAAUUAGGAUCAGUCAUUUUUAAUAACUGACUGAAUGACUUUUGGCCUGGUACUCUUUUUUCUUUCUAGUUCAGAGUAAAUGACAAAUAAAGAGCUGUCUGCUCUGUGAUGAUCA